rnacentral:rRNA from 1 species
CCGGCACGGGUGAGUAACACGUAUCCAACCUGCCGUCUACUCUUGGACAGCCUUCUGAAAGGAAGAUUAAUACAAGAUGGCAUCAUGAGUCCGCAUGUUCACAUGAUUAAAGGUAUUCCGGUAGACGAUGGGGAUGCGUUCCAUUAGAUAGUAGGCGGGGUAACGGCCCACCUAGUCUUCGAUGGAUAGGGGUUCUGAGAGGAAGGUCCCCCACAUUGGAACUGAGGCACGGUCCAA